rnacentral:lncRNA from 1 species
CCCUUCACCCUCUUGCAUGUGGCUACGACUGAUGUAAAUGAUGGCCCAGGGACUAAAGGGGCAACCUGGAGAGAAGGGAGCACCCGGAGAAGCUGGCAUGUCCAUCAUUGGUCCCCGUGGCCCUCCAGGACAGCCUGGAACAAGAGGUUUUCCAGGGUUUCCGGGUCCAAUUGGUUUAGAUGGCAAACCAGUAAGUAAAGUUUCCCUCCCCUCCUUGUCCUUCCUCUUCCUUUUG